CCUACGGGUGGCAGCAGUGAGGAAUAUUGGUCAAUGGCCGCAAGCCUGAACCAGCCAAGUCGCGUGAGGGACGACGGUCCUAUGGAUUGUAAACCUCUUUUAUCCGGGAGCAAAAGACGCCACGUGUGGCGUUUCGAGAGUACCCGAUGAAUAAGCACCGGCUAAAUCCGUGCCAGCAGCCGCGGUAAUACGGAGGAUCCGAGCGUUAUCCGGAUUUAUUGGGGUUAAAGGGUGCGUAGGCGGAAUGUGAAGCGUGCCGGUAAAUUUAGGGGGUCAACCCUUGUGGUGCGGUUGAAACUGGUGAUCUUGAGUGAGCGAGAGGUAGGCGGAAUGCGUGGUGUAGCGGUGAAAUGCUUAGAUAUCACGAAGAACACCGAUUGCGAAGGCAGCAUACCGGAGCGUAACUGACGCUGAGGCUCGAAAGUGUGGGUAUCGAACAGGAUUAGAUACCCGUGUAGUC
rnacentral:rRNA from 1 species